GCCGCCGUAGCUCAGUGGUGGAGCGCCCGGCUGUUAACCGGGUGGUCGAUGGUUCAAAUCCGUCCGGCGGCG
rnacentral:tRNA from 1 species